rnacentral:rRNA from 1 species
GAUGAACGCUGGCGGCGUGCCUAAUACAUGCAAGUCGAGCGAACAGACGAGAGUGCUUGCACUCUCUGACGUUAGCGGCGGGCGGGUGAGUAACACGUGGGUAACCUACCUAUAAGACUGGGAUAACUUCGGGAAACCGGAGCUAAUACCGGAUAAUAUUUAGCUUCGCAUGAAGCAAUAGUGAAAGACGGUUCUGCUGUCACUUAUAGAUGGACCCGCGGUGUAUUAGCUAGUUGGUGAGGUAACGGCUCACCAAGGCAACGAUACAUAGCCGACCUGAGAGGGUGAUCGGCCACACUGGGACUGAGACACGGCCCAGACUCCUACGGGAGGCAGCAGUAGGGAAUCUUCCGCAAUGGACGAAAGUCUGACGGAGCAAUGCCGCGUGAGUGAAGAAGGUUUUCGGAUCGUAAAACUCUGUUGUAAGGGAAGAACAAGUACGUUAGUAACUGAACGUACCUUGACGGUACCUGACCAGAAAGCCACGGCUAACUACGUG